UGGCUCAGAGGUUAAAGCGUCUGCCUCCAAUGCGGGAGACCUGGGUUCGAUUCCUGG
rnacentral:tRNA from 1 species